UCCGCCCUGGGUAAGUCGGGACCUAACGCGAGGCCGAAAGGCGUAGUGGAUGGAAAGCAGGCGAAAGAUUCCUGCACCCGUAUAUGGAGCGAAGGAGUGACGGAGACGGAUAGUGUGACCCUCUUAAUGGAUUGAGGGCGAAGCGAAGCGGCUGGUUACCAGGCAAAUCCGGUAACCAAAAGGCUAGAGCGUGACAGGUAAGCGAAAUCUUAGGAAAGUAGCGAAGCACAUGAUGACGGCUUCCAGGAAAAGCUUCUGGCAAUGCAUAUGCGGCCCGUACCAAAACCGACACAGGUGGGCAGGGAGAGAAUCCCGAGGUGAGCGAGAGAACUGUUGCCAAGGAACUCGGCAAAAUGACUCCGUAAGUUAGCGAGAAGGAGUGCUUAAGCAAUUAAGCCGCAGUGAAGAGGCCCAAGCGACUGUUUAACUAAAACACAGCUCUCUGCGAAGUCGCAAGACGAAGUAUAGGGGGUGACACCUGCCCGGUGCUGGAAGGUUAAGAGGAUCUGUUAAGAGCGAUCUGAAGCAGUGAUCCGAAGCCCCAGUGAACGGCGGCCGUAACUAUAACGGUCCUAAGGUAGCGAAAUUCCUUGUCAGGUAAGUUCUGACCCGCACGAAAGGUGUAACGAUUUGGGCGCUGUCUCGGCAGCAGACUCGGUGAAAUCUUAGUACCUGUGAAAAUGCAGGUUACCCGCAACUAGACGGAAAGACCCCAUGGAGCUUUACUGCAGCCUGAUAUUGAAUUCUGGUCAUACAUGUACAGGAUAGGUGGGAGACAAAGAGACGUGCACGCCAGUGUACGAGGAGUCGACGUUGGGAUACCACUCUUGUGUGACCGGGGUUCUAACCUGGUAUCGAGAACAGGUACGGGGAGAGUGUCAGGUGGGCAGUUUGACUGGGGCGGUCGCCUCCCAAAGAGUAACGGAGGCGCCCAAAGGUACGCUCAGAUUGGAUGGAAACCAAUCGUCGAGUGCAAUUGCAGAAGCGUGCUUGACUGUGAGACAAACAAGUCGAACAGGGACGAAAGUCGGGAAUAGUGAUCCGGCGGUGCCGAAUGGAAGGGCCGUCGCUCAACGGAUAAAAGCUACCCUGGGGAUAACAGGCUGAUCUCCCCCAAGAGUCCACAUCGACGGGGAGGUUUGG
rnacentral:rRNA from 1 species